rnacentral:rRNA from 1 species
CAAUAGCGUAUAUUAAAGUUGUUGCAGUUAAAAAGCUCGUAGUUGGAUUUCUGGUGGGAGCGACCGGUCGGCGCUUAACGGCGUGUACACUGGAGUUGUCUCUUGCCAUCCUUGAGGAGAACGUGUCUGGCAUUAAGUUGUCGGGCUUGGGAUCCUCAUCGUUUACUGUGAAAAAAUUAGAGUGUUUAAAGCAGGCAUUUGCUGUGAAUACAUUAGCAUGGAAUAAUAAGAUAGGACUUUGGUGCUAUUUUGUUGGUUUGCGUACCAAGGUAAUGAUUAAUAGGGAUAGUUGGGGGUAUUCGUAUUCAAUUGUCAGAGGUGAAAUUCUUGGAUUUAUGGAAGACGAACAACUGCGAAAGCAUUUACCAAGGAUGUUUUCAUUAA